GACGAACGCUGGCGGCGUGCCUAAUACAUGCAAGUAGGACGCAGUUGCGAACGGUUGAGUAACGCGUAGGUAACUACCUAUUAGAGGGGGAUAACUAUUGGAAACGAUAGCUAAUACCGCAUACUAGUAGAUGGACCUGCGUUGUAUUAGCUAGUAGGUAGGGUAAUGGCCUACCUAGGCCACGGUACAUAGCCGGGGUGAGAGGGUGAUCGGCCAACAUGGGACUGGUGCACGGCCCAGACGCCUACGGGAGGCAGCAGUAGGGAAUCUUCGGAAAUGGGGGGAACCCUGACCGAGCAACGGCGCGUGAGUGAAGAAGGUUUUCGGAUCGUAAAGCUCUGUUGUUAAGGAAGCGGUACUUAACCAGAAAGGGACGGCUAACUACGUGCCAGCAGCCGCGGUAAUUC
rnacentral:rRNA from 1 species